ensembl:antisense
GAGUUUAACAAUCAUCUCCCAAACUUCAACAGGACAUAAAUGUAAUCUUAUACGCCAGGGUCCUCUCUUCUAGCUCACUAUCAGAGAUGUACACACUGAGAGUCGUUUUUUAAAUGCAGGGCACUGGGCUUAAAACCUGAAAGAGCCUUUUCUUGAGCAGCAGCCACUCUGACUUAUUCUCUGGGAAGCACUCACGGAUCCCUGUUAUCAACUUUAUAACAAAAUCUACCAAGGAACCCUUGUUUGGCACAAGCUAGCCGAUGGUUAGUAGCCAAAUGGCACCCCUGCCAAAGUCAGCAUUCCUGGGACUCCAGUCGCUCUUCAUUCUAAGAAGCAGUCAGACACUGUGGUGACGUCCCACUUUUCAGGAUUGCUACUUGUGGAAUCAGCGUGUACUUUCUUCCAGGAAGGCCCCUAAGACCCUGAGUUUAACAAGGGCUACUCAUGAAGGAGGGAGUGUAACACCAUCCUUUGGAGCACAAGGAACUCAGCAGUGGAUGCAUUAGGAAAGAACAUGACUUCUCUUCCAGCAGCCCUGGGAGGGGCAGAUCCCUAUGAGCCCCUCCCCUUCCCAUAAUCCACUGCAUUGGUAUAGUCUUGUGUGGACCCUGUGCAAGAAACCAAAGCUGUUGUGAGUUCUACAGUGGCACAUUUGAGACAUCCAAGUUGGAAGGAACCCAAUCAGAGAUGGCAUUAUUAUAUUCUGCUAAUGGUAGGGGAAAUGGUAGGUCUUGGCUGUGAAACAACCUUGGGCCUUUCAUACUAUAACAUAGGUGAAAUUUAUUGGCAUUAUGCCACUAAACAAAAGAUGUCACACACAAAGGACAAAUACUGUGUGGCUUUUAUAAGGUCCCUGGAGUUGUCACAUCCCUAGAAACAGAAAAAGAAUAGCCAUCCCCAGGGGCCAGGAGAGAUUAAUUGGGAAUUAGUGCUGAGCCAAUACAGUUUUAGUCUAGGAAGCCAGCUAUAGCUUUCAAGAAGAGUAGUAGUGAUGGUUGGAAUUUGUCAAUCAGACAUCAAUGGAUGAGUUAUAUCUAUCAGACUGUAACAUAACUAUCAGACUGUAGCAGCAUCUUCUUCAUUACUGAUUUAUGUGGAGAGAGACAGUCUAUCGUACGCAGUGCUAUCCUGGGGAAAGUGGUCCUGGGUUGGAUAAGAAGGCAAACUGAGCAAGUCAUAGAGAGUAAGUCAGUAAGCCGUUUUAGUUCUUGCUGCUGGGGGGUGCUUUGUUUAAGUUCCUGCCUUGGCUUCCCUCAGUGAUGGACUAUGAUCUAGAUGGGUAAGCGCAAUACACCCUUUUCCUCACAAGCUGACUUUGUGGAUGUUGUUUAUCACAUCGAUAGAAAACAAACAAGGACAGAUGGUGUUGAUACUCACUGUGCAAACAGACUUGAUGGCACCAAACUGUGCACUUAACAAUGACUGCUGUGACAGCUGCCUUAUGUUUAUUAAUUGAACAUUUUAAAAGUAUUAGAGAAAAAUGCUGGUGUAAUUACAGGUACAUGAUCUCAUAGCUGAUGUUGCUUCUUAAUAAAACCCCAAACAAAACAAUCAGACUAGGAAACAAGGCUAGGAAAAGAAUGUGAAUAGAAAAGAAUUGUUGAAGCAGGGUGCUAAGCUGUGAGGCUGAUCAUCAUGGGUUCUACGCUGUAUUAAACAUACAUUUUUAAAAGCUUUAUGAUGGUUUUGGUGUUCUGAAUUUGAUUUUUUGAGCUAUGCUGUGCAUGUAUGCUGUCUCUAGAGAAGGCAAUGAAGAACAACUGCAGCUAAGCAAAAUCCUGCUUUACAGCACCCUGCUGAGAUGCCGCCAUGCUUUGUUAAUAGUGUGGGCAGAAGCUGAGAGAGGAAGUCAUGGAAGACAUCAUAAUCGAUCAGAGUCCUUGUCUGUCCUGUCCGACUGCUGCAUUUGUAGAUAGUCCUUCUUGCUUCCUCUACCAUAGAACCCGAGGGUCUAAGGAUGCUAAUGCUCCAUCAAUUGAGACAGAAUAGGGGAGGAAAACCCCAGGGAACAGUAUUCCUUAAAAUGUUUUCUAGGUGAUGCUAACAUUAGUCAAGGUCACGAGCUAUUUGCAUAUCGUAUUAGUCUGCUUCCCCUCAGUGCGGAAAAAAUGCCUGAGAUAAACAGCUUUAAAAGACAUGGGCAGGCACCAAACCCUGACACUAUUAUUGAUGCUAUAUUGUGCUUGCAGACAGGAGCCUGGCAUGGCUAUCCUCUGAGAGGCCCAACAAGCAGCUGAUUGAGAUAGAUGCAGAUACUUACAGCCAACCAUUGGACGGAGGUCAGGGACCCUAUGGAAGAGUUAUGGGAAGCAUUGAAGGAACUGAAGGGGAUAGCAACCCCAUAGGAAGAACAGGGUCAACUAACCUGGACCCCUGGAAGCAACCAGAGACUAAGCCACCAACCAAAGAGCAUACAUGGGCUGGUUGGAGGUCUCUGGCACAUAUGCCUUAUCUGGACUCAGUGAUUGAAAAACGUGCCUAAUCCUGAAGAGACUUGAUGCCCCAGAGAAGGAGGAAGUGAAGGGGGUUGAGUAGGAGGGGCAACAUUUGGGAUGUAAAUAAAUAAAAUGAUUAGUUUUU